AUUGAACGCUGGCGGCAGGCCUAACACAUGCAAGUCGAACGAGUGGCGGACGGGGGAGUAAUGUCUGGGAAACUGCCCGAUGGAGGGGGAUAAAUACUGGAAACGGUAGCUAAUACCGCAUACCAUCGGAUGUGCCCAGAUGGGAUUAGCUUGUAGGUGGGGUAACGGCUCACCUAGGAGACGAUCCCUAGCUGGUCUGAGAGGAUGACCAGCCACACUGGAACUGAGACACGGUCCAGCCUCCUACGGGAGGCAGCAGUGGGGAAUAUUGCACAAUGGGCGCAAGCCUGAUGCAGCCAUGCCGCUUGUAUGAAGAAGGCCUUCGGGUUGUAAAGUACUUUCAGCGGGGAGGCGUUACCCGCAGAAGAAGCACCGGCUAACUCCGUGCCAGCAGCCGCGGUAAUUC
rnacentral:rRNA from 1 species